CCCCGCCCAGAUCCACCGAAGGAGGCCCAGGAGUGUUUUAGGGAAGGGGAGGAGGACGCGACUUCUGACGAAGUAAAUUUAAUAGUUAAACGAAAGCACCUAAAGUUUAGGUGGCUGCUUAGGGCAACUCCGGGAUUGAGACUGGAGAGGACUCAGUCUGGAAUUCAGAUCAUCCACUGCCCCCCGGGCGCUGCGCUUUCCACCCACUAAUCUGUUAGAUAAAAUGGAGUAUAGACUGUGAACUCUUGGCUUCUUCGCCCUCAUUGGCAAUAGGGUCCUACAUUGCAUUCAGUUGUUGUUACAUCCUGCGUGGCAAGGGCAAAUGGGUCUCGAGAGGAGAGAUGCAGAUUGAAUAAGAACAAGAGACAAAAGUAAGA